UACGAAGGGGGCUAGCGUUGUUCGGAUUUACUGGGCGUAAAGCGCACGUAGGCGGAUCUUUAAGUCAGAGGUGAAAUCCCGGAGCUCAACUUCGGAACUGCCUUUGAUACUGGGGAUCUCGAGUUCGGGAGAGGUGAGUGGAACUGCGAGUGUAGAGGUGAAAUUCGUAGAUAUUCGCAAGAACACCAGUGCGAAGGCGGCUCACUGGCCCGAGUACUGACGCUGAAGUGCGAAAGCGUGGGGAGCAAACAGGG
rnacentral:rRNA from 1 species